rnacentral:misc_RNA from 1 species
UCCGGUUUGACACCGGCAGUCCCGCUAGAGUCCUCAGCAUAACCUGUUAGCAACUAACGGCAGGGGUUUCGCUCGUUAAGGGACUUAACCCGACACUUCACAGCACGAGCUGACGACAGCCAUGCAGCACCUGUCCACGUUCCACCCCGAAUGGGGCGUCACUUCCCUUUCAGGAAGCUAAUCCGUGCAUGUCAAACCCAGGAUAAGGUUCUUCGCGUUGCCUCGAAUUAAGCCACAUGCUCCACCGCUUGUGUGAGCCCCCGUCAAUUCCUUUGAGUUUUAGCCUUGCGACCGUACUCCCCAGGCGGUGCACUUAGUACUUUUGCUUCGGCCCGGAAGGUGUCAGAACCUCCCAGACCUAGUGCACAUCGUUUACGGCGUGGACUAC